GGGCAGGUCACACCUGAACACUCUGACUUAAAUUUGCAGCUAAAAUGGCCAUGCUGUAUGUUACAGACCAAGAGGUGUGAGUUGUGCUUCCAGGUUCUCAGGAGUCAAGGAGUAACUUCAGUGCAAGCUGAGCUUGGAUGACUGAGAUGAUGAGUAAAGGCAGCAAAUCAAAGCUAUUGUAUGAAAUGCCAAGCAAAAUUCCUCCCAGGAAUUCUUCAUCGUUUAGCUGCUGGUGACUGUUAGAGAGCAGAGUCUGAUAAGCACUUAGCUGAAACCUUUC